CCUACGGGCGGCAGCAGUGAGGAAUAUUGCGCAAUGGGGGAAACCCUGACGCAGCGACGCCGCGUGGGUGAAGAAGGCCUUCGGGUUGUAAAGCCCUGUCAGGUGGGAAGAAGUGCAUGGUGGCUAAUAUCCAUCAUGUUUGACGGUACCACCAAAGGAAGCACCGGCUAACUCCGUGCCAGCAGCCGCGGUAAUACGGAGGGUGCAAGCGUUGUUCGGAUUUACUGGGCGUAAAGGGCGCGUAGGCGGUCUUAUAAGCCAUAUGUGAAAGCCCACGGCUCAACCGUGGAAGUGCAUGUGGAACUGUGAGACUUGAGUAUGGGAGAGGAAAGUGGAAUUCCCGGUGUAGAGGUGAAAUUCGUAGAUAUCGGGAGGAAUACCGGUGGCGAAGGCGACUUUCUGGACCAAUACUGACGCUGAGGCGCGAAAGCGUGGGUAGCAAACAGGAUUAGAUACCCCGGUAGUC
rnacentral:rRNA from 1 species